UCUUUUUAAUCUAUUAAAUAUUUAUGAUAUUCUUUAAUAUAUUAAAUUAAAAUUUUUUAAAAUAUUCCAAAUUAAAAUCUUUAAAUUUUUUUACUGUAGUAUGUAAAAUUAUGAAUUAAAAAAAAAUGAUAUGAAAUUAAAUAUAAAUAUUCAAAUAGUUAUAAGGAUCAUAACUCAUUUCAGCAUAUAAUAUAUUAUAUUCAACCCGCCGUCUUUUAUAAGUAUUUAUUUCAAAAAAUCAAAUUAGAGUAUUUAUACGUCAUAAAUUUUUGAUCUAUUAAGUAUUGAUCAUAUUAAAAAAAAAAAGAAAUAUAUUACUCAAAUAUGAAUUUUUGACCCGUUAAUUUUGUUCUUUCAUACAUUGAAUAAUUUAUAUUCCUUUUUAAAAAUUCAAAUUUUGGUAUAUGCGGAAAAAAAUUUACUUUUUUUUUAUUAUAUAGAUUAUAUACUGAUUUAUUUAUUUAUAGAAAUAGAAUCAUAUAAAGAUGAGAUGUGGAGUAUAAUGAUUAAUAACAACUUAAUAUGGUAAGUUAGAUAUCAAAUCUUAUAUGUUCAUUUUGAUUGGUCAUUCUUUUUAAAGAAAUUAAUAAUAGAUUUUCGUUUUUAUAAUUAAAUUAAAUUAAUUAAAUUGUAUAAAAUAGUAUUUGACUUUUUUAUCCUUAAUGAGUUGAAUUAAUUUACUAUAUAAAAUUUUAUUACUAGUGGCAUUCUUAAGUAAUUAUUUACAAAAGAAAAGGUUAGUUAAGGGUAUCUUAUAAAGUGUACUCCCCAAAUAAUAGUAUAGGAUCGUCGUUAUGUCUUAUCCAAUAUUCAUCAGUUCGUCACAUGUCUAUAUACAAUGACGUAAAGAGUACCCAAAAUUCACAUCUCUUUUUGGAUUAUAUGGGUUAAUUACGGGCCAGGCCAACUUUUAAGUUUUUCUUUCAAGUUUUGACAAAGUGGGGAUUAGCUUUCACUAUUUGACAAUUAUGUCAAUUUCUGACGAAAAUGCCCUUGUAGCCGAACCGGUGUACAGUGACAGCGAACGAAAUCGUCAGGCGAGUUGGUUACGUACACAGUAUCUCGUUAGCUACAGUUGAUUAGUUUUUUAAUAUUUCCGUCGGAUGUACAGUGUACACCGAAAGAAUAAAACAAAUAAAAUAUGUUGUCACAAAUGUUUUAAAUGCUGAAAAAGUUGAGACAUGACUCAUUCCAACUGUAAUCAAUGCAAACUCAUCAUUACAUCUUAUUUUAAUCCUCUUAAAUCAUAAUAACGUACACUGUUUAGAUUUUGUAAAGAGAAAUAAGAAAAAUGAUAAACUUCCCCUCAAUAUCUAUGAAGGAAUGAGAUAGACGCCAUUUUGAUCUUGUUGUUUAACAAAGUUUCCGGCGAGAAAGCAGUGACCGUGGUAAGUAAUGAAGUUGUAAAUAAAAAAUUUAGUUAUUACAUACACUUUCAAUGAAAACAAAAUUGAUUUGGAUACAAAACUUCAGGAAAUUGAUUUAUUCCUCUCUUGAUUCUAUAUUUGUUCUGUAGUAAAUAUUAAAUGAGGAGAUUCAAUGUGCAUUAAGUGUGUAGUUGCAAAGUCUUUUUUUAGUUGGAGGUAUAAAAGUUGUUCUCAGUUGCAUUUAAUGGGGUUCUCCUGAAUUUAUGAUGCAGGAUGUUAAUGGAGAUUCCUGUAUUUAUUAUGGUUGGUGAUUGGAUAGUAACAGAAGAAAAAUGGAAAUUUGAACCUGAGAAAGGAAGCUAUGGUCGGUGUGUACGUGUUAGGGAAAACAUGACGUACACGGAUUUGGCACGUACAUUAUGUGAGGUUUUCAAUUUGAAGUACAAAGAAUGGCAGCCAAUAAUUAGUUACUGGAUGCCGGGAAAUAUGUCAAUUAUGAUAGAAUGUACACGCCCUCCUGUCUACAUUGACAAUCAAAUGAGCUUGGAUACAUUCUUCCUGAUUCGUGUUGGAGAUCCAAGUGUCAACUUGUUUGUGUCUUUCAGUAGAACUGUAGAUGCCACUAAUGCAGAUGUAGAUGAGCAAACUGACGUACAGGAUGAAAAAACAAAUGAAGAUGCAGAGGAUGAGGAGAACGAAGAGGUGGCUGGGGAAGAAUUGAAUGACAGCGACUAAAACAUUGAAAAAGAUGACGAUGUCAGUGGUGGCUAUAGUGCGGGAAGUACUCUCGACCCUACUAUAGACGGUAGUGAAGGUAGUGGUGAAGAUUACAAUUUCAACAAGUGGAAUGAUUUGAUUGUAGAAGAAUAUGGAGUUAGCCAUGUUGAGGAGGACGUCUGUGACAUUCCACCGACCGUGGAACCGGCAGGGGAAUUCAGUCGUCUAUUGGCAGAGUGUACGACCACAAGUCAACGUGUACGUACAGGAGAAACCAGUGCGAAUUUAGGUGACACUCAGCUAACUAUGAAUUCAACCCCGACGUGUCAACAUGGAUUGCUCCAAUGUACGUACACUAGAGAAUGUGUACGAGACACAGGAUGCAAAGGUGAAUUUGUUACAUAUACGGAUACCGAUGUUAAUGGUAGAGACGAAGUCAAUGGAGAGAUUGGUGUGGAUUUGGAUAUCGGAGGUUCAGAAACUGGUGUCUUAAAUGAAACUGAUCUCCGUAUACAACCCUCGGUUGAGUCUUACGAAGUGUAUAAUGGAUUUUCUUUAUUACAUAGUGGAGAGCCGGAGAUUCUUGAUAAUGAUGCUACUCCAGUCUUUGAUGAUUUAGCCAAAGUUUGAUGUGAUUCUACUGAAGUUGAAAUUAGUACGACUGGUGAGACAUUGUAUGUGGGUAGUGUGUUUAUGAACAUGCAAGUCAUACAACAAACUAUGGCUUAUCUUGCACUCAAAGUUUACUUUUGCUAUAAGCAAACUCGGUCUGAUCCUAGAAGAUUGGAGAUGGCUUGUGUGGAUGAUAAUUGUCGGUGGCAUUUGUCUGCAAAGGUUGUCAAGAAUUCAGAAUGUUUCAAAAUCAUAAGUACAUCCAUUGAAGACUAUGUACGUAAACAUGUAAUACUGUGUACGUGAGAAACGAGGUAGUGAUCAUGACAGAGAGAAUGGUGUUAUUACCACCAUGUGUAGGGUCUUGCCAGGAGAUAAGUAAAACUAUCACAAACAAGUGAGCUUGGAACAUUCUUUUUAUUCAUAGUAGCGAUCUAAGUGUAAAUUGUAUCGUUUUUUCCAACCCGUUAAAGAAAGUGUGAAUAGUGUGUGCGUGAUGGAUAACCUUACUGAUGAAACUAACCAUGGGUCGGAGGUGAAAACAAUGAAGAAGUAGAUGAGGAAGAAAAAAUAGAGGGCAAUAAAGAGGAUGAAAAGAAAGAAGAUGAGGAUGACGAAGAGAAGAAAGAGGACGAUAAAGAUGACGACUAUGAACAAUAGUAAAGGUAAUGACAAAAAUUACAUUACAACAAGUGGACUGAUUUUUUUUGUUGAGAAAUAUGGGAUAGGAUAUGUCAGGAAUGUUGGUUACACUCAACUUACUGUGGGGCUAGCAAAAAAAUUCAGUUGAUUAUUAGAAACAUGUACGUAUACUAAUUAACGUGUACGUGAUUUAUAAAGCAUCAUUGGUUUACGUAAUUAAAGUUGAUUAUUCGACACAUGUACGUAUACUACUUCACAUGUACGUAAUUAACGUACAAUAUUAACACGUCCACAUAAUCAAAGCAACGUACACCGUAAAUUGUAUAUACGUACACAAAAGAAAUUCGUUGAAGAGUAUAAUUGUAAUUGUGCAGUCAUCUUCCACAUGAGUAUCUACUUCUGCAACCCUAAAUACGCAGCCGUCAUUUAUCUUUAUCUUAGAAUCUCAUUUUUUUAACGUUUUGAAUGUUUUUUACAUACAAAUCUUGUAAAUCUAGUAUAUUUUAAGUUUGAAAAACUAAAGAGUUUGAGUUUUGUUUCAUUGUUCGAUGGUUACGUUAAGUCAAUUACGUCGGAAGAACAAUUCCUUUCUAAUCAUUCUCUUUCAUUUUUUCCGAUUCGCUGGAAAUCUCUUAAUCUAUUUAACUUUAAUCUCUCUACUUGAUAAUGAAGCAAAAUCAAUGGCUCUCCAGAAAUUAACCUCUUCGCCGGAUAAUCAGUAACUUGCUCUUCGCCGGAUAUUAGACUUGAAUGAGAUGUCUCAAAUCAAGUUGCAGAACAAUUGAAACCGAGAUUUCG
rnacentral:lncRNA from 1 species